AUGCCAUGGUGAGGGCAUUGCCGAAGUAACUCCUUAAAAUCUUCCCAAGCUUCAAAUAGUGAUUCUUCAUCUCCUUGCCUAAAUGAGGUGAUUUCAUUUCUCAUCUU